UACGUAGGGCGCAAGCGUUGUCCGGAAUUAUUGGGCGUAAAGAGCUCGUAGGCGGCUUGUCACGUCGGGUGUGAAAGCCCGGGGCUUAACCCCGGGUCUGCAUUCGAUACGGGCUGGCUAGAGUGUGGUAGGGGAGAUCGGAAUUCCUGGUGUAGCGGUGAAAUGCGCAGAUAUCAGGAGGAACACCCGUGGCGAAGGCGGCUCUCUGGGACGGUACUGACGCUGAGACGCGAAAGCGUGGGGAGCGAACAGG
rnacentral:rRNA from 1 species